GGUUCCGUGGUGUAGUUGGUUAUCACAACUGCUUAACACGCAGUAGGUCGGCGUUUCGAUCACGCCCGGAAUCA